rnacentral:rRNA from 1 species
AUGGGAACGCGAAGAACCUUACCUAGACUUGACAUCUCCUGAAUAGUGUAGAGAUACAUGAAGCCCUUCGGGGCAGGAAGACAGGUGGUGCAUGGUUGUCGUCAGCUCGUGUCGUGAGAUGUUGGGUUAAGUCCCGCAACGAGCGCAACCCUUAUUACUAGUUGCUACCAUUAAGUUGAGCACUCUAGUUAGACUGCCCGGGUUAACCGGGAGGAAGGCGGGGAUGACGUCAAAUCAUCAUGCCCCUUAUGUCUAGGGCAACACACGUGCUACAAUGGUGAGUACAGAUAGAUGCGAUACCGCAAGGUGGAGCCAAACUCUAAAACUCAUCCCAGUUCGGAUUGUAGGCUGCAACUCGCCUACAUGAAGUUGGAGUUGCUAGUAAUCGCGAAUCAGAAUGUCGCGGUGAAUACGUUCCCGGGUCUUGUACACACCG